rnacentral:misc_RNA from 1 species
GAUGAAGAACGCAGCGAAAUGCGAUACGUAGUGUGAAUUGCAGAAUUCCGUGAACCAUCGAAUCUUUGAACGCACAUUGCGCCCCCUGGUAUUCCGGGGGGCAUGCCUGUCCGAGCGUCAUUGCUGCCCUCAAACACGGCUUGUGUGUUGGGCCUCCGUCCUCCUCCCGGGGGACGGGCCCGAAAGGCAGCGGCGGCACCGCGUCCGGUCCUCGAGCGUAUGGGGCUUCGUCACCCGCUCUUGUAGGCCCGGCCGGCGCUUGCCGACACAUCAAUCUUUUUUCCAGGUUGACCUCGGAUCAGGUAGGGAUACCCGCUGAACUUAAGCAUAUCAAUAAGCGGAGGA